rnacentral:rRNA from 1 species
UACGGAGGGUGCAAACGUUGCUCGGAAUCAUUGGGCGUAAAGCGCACGUAGGCGGACUGUUAAGUCGGACGUGAAAUCCCUCAGCUUAACUGAGGAAGUGCAUUCGAAACUGGCAGUCUUGAGUAUGGAAGAGGGUCGCGGAAUUCCCGGUGUAGAGGUGAAAUUCGUAGAUAUCGGGAGGAACACCAGUGGCGAAGGCGGCGACCUGGGCCAAUACUGACGCUGAGGUGCGAAAGCGUGGGGAGCAAACAGG